CCUUCCGUAGGUGAACCUGCGGAAGGAUCAUUACCGAGUUGAUUCGAGCUCCGGCUCGACUCUCCCACCCAAUGUGUACCUACCUCUGUUGCUUUGGCGGGCCGCGGUCCUCCGCACCGGCGCCCUUCGGGGGGCUGGCCAGCGCCCGCCAGAGGACCAUAAAACUCCAGUCAGUGAACUUCGCAGUCUGAAAAACAAGUUAAUAAACUAAAACUUUCAACAACGGAUCUCUUGGUUCUGGCAUCGAUGAAGAACGCAGCGAAAUGCGAUAAGUAAUGUGAAUUGCAGAAUUCAGUGAAUCAUCGAAUCUUUGAACGCACAUUGCGCCCCUUGGUAUUCCGAGGGGCAUGCCUGUUCGAGCGUCAUUUCAACCCUCAAGCUCUGCUUGGUAUUGGGCUCCGUCCUCCACGGACGCGCCUUAAAGACCUCGGCGGUGGCGUCUUGCCUCAAGCGUAGUAGAAAACACCUCGCUUUGGAGCGCACGGCGUCGCCCGCCGGACGAACCUUUGAAUUAUUUCUCAAGGUUGACCUCGGAUCAGGUAGGGAUACCCGCUGAACUUAAGCAUAUCAAUAAGCGGAGGA
rnacentral:rRNA from 1 species